ACUCAAAUGAAUUGACGGGGGCCCGCACAAGCGGUGGAGCAUGUGCAUUAAUUCGUCACUAACCGAAGAACCUUACCAGGGUUUGACAUCUCUGGACAUGCCAUGAAAGUGGUCCUUCCCCGCAAGGGGACCAGAAGACAGGUGUUGCAUGGUUGUCGUCAGCUCGUGUCGUGAGAUGUUGGGUUAAGUCCCGCAACGAGCGCAACCCUCACCCAAUGUUGCCAGCGUUAAGUCGGGCACUCUUUGGGAACUGCCCAUGUAAGUGGGAGGAAGGUGGGGAUGACGUCAAAUCGGCAUGGCCCUUACAUCCUGGGCUUGACACAUGCUACAAUGGCCGUUAAACAAAGCGAAGCAAGACCGCGAGGUGGAGCCAAUCGCAAAAAUACGGUCUCAGUUCGGAUUGCAGGCUGCAACUCGCCUGCAUGAAGUCGGAAUCGCUAGUAACCGCAGGUCAGCUAAACUGCGGUGAAUACGUUCCCGGGCCUUGUACACACCGCCCGU
rnacentral:rRNA from 1 species